rnacentral:rRNA from 1 species
AACGAACGCUGGCGGCAGGCCUAACACAUGCAAGUCGAGCGAGAAGGAUCCUUCGGGAUCUGGAGAGCGGCGGACGGGUGAGUAACGCGUGGGAACGUGCCCUUAGGUCGGGGGACAACAGUUGGAAACGACUGCUAAUACCGCAUAAGCCAAUUUGGGAAAGCCUUCGGGCGCCUUGGGAUCGGCCCGCGUUAGAUUAGGUAGUUGGUGGGGUAAAGGCCUACCAAGCCUACGAUCUAUAGCUGGUUUGAGAGAAUGAUCAGCCACACUGGGACUGAGACACGGCCCAGACUCCUACGGGAGGCAGCAGUGGGGAAUAUUGCGCAAUGGGGGAAACCCUGACGCAGCCACGCCGCGUGGGUGAAGAAGGCCUUCGGGUUGUAAAGCCCUUUCAACGGUGAAGAUGAUGACUGUAGCCGUAGAAGAAGCCCCGGCUAACUUCGUG